rnacentral:tRNA from 1 species
GGGGAUUUAACUCAGUGGUAGAGCGCUUGCCUGGCAAGCACAAGGCCCUGGGUUCGGUCCCCAGCUCCG